GGAGGUGUGGCCGAGUGGUUUAAGGCACUGGUCUUGAAAACCAGCGACGGUUCGCGCCGUCCGUGAGUUCGAAUCUCACCGCCUCCGCCA
rnacentral:tRNA from 1 species